GAUGAACGCUGGCGGCGUGCCUAAUACAUGCAAGUCGAGCGAACAGACGAGGAGCUUGCUCCUCUGACGUUAGCGGCGGACGGGUGAGUAACACGUGGAUAACCUACCUAUAAGACUGGGAUAACUUCGGGAAACCGGAGCUAAUACCGGAUGAUAUAUUGAACCGCAUGGUUCAAUAGUGAAAGACGGUUUUGCUGUCACUUAUAGAUGGAUCCGCGCCGCAUUAGCUAGUUGGUAAGGUAACGGCUUACCAAGGCAACGAUGCGUAGCCGACCUGAGAGGGUGAUCGGCCACACUGGAACUGGGACACGGUCCAGACUCCUACGGGAGGCAGCAGUAGGGAAUCUUCCGCAAUGGGCGAAAGCCUGACGGAGCAACGCCGCGUGAGUGAUGAAGGUCUUCGGAUCGUAAAACUCUGUUAUUAGGGAAGAACAAAUGUGUAAGUAACUAUGCACGUCUUGACGGUACCUAAUCAGAAAGCCACGACUAACUACGUG
rnacentral:rRNA from 1 species